GCAGGCUUAGACGAGUAGUUAAGUUGUCCGCUUUGCAAGCGGAUGAUUCUGGGUUCGAUCCAAAGGCUUGGG
rnacentral:tRNA from 1 species